rnacentral:rRNA from 1 species
AUUGAACGCUGGCGGCAGGCCUAACACAUGCAAGUCGAACGAGUGGCGGACGGGUGAGUAAUGUAUGGGACAAUGCCUGAUGUAGGGGUAUAACUACUGGACAAGGUCGCUAAUACCGCCUACCAUAAGAUGUGCACAUAUGGGAUUAGCUUGUUGGUGGGGUAACGGCUCACCUAGGCGACGAUCUCUAGCUUGUCUGAGAGGAUGACCAGCCACACUGGGACUGAGACACGGCCCAGCCUCCUCCGGGAGGCAGCAGUGGGGAAUAUUGCGCAAUGGGAGCAACCCUGACGCAGCCAUGCCGCGUGGAUGAAGAAGGCCUUCGGGUUGUAAAGUACUUUCAGUAGCGAGGCGUUAACUACAGAAGAAGCACCGGCUAACUCCGUGCCAGCAGCCGCGGUAAUUC